UAUAACAUUAUGUUGGAGAUGCAAUGCAUUUGUUUUUAAAUUUUGAUCCUUGACCGUCUGUAUAUUCCAUUGACAUUUGUAAAUAAAAUAUUAAUUUCUGCUGUAUUGAGUCUAGAAUCAUUUCAAUUGCUGGAUAAAAUGUGAUAAAACUUUAUGUAUUCCUGCUACAAGUAAUAUGAAUAAAAUAUGGGAACGUACUUAGAAAAUUAANNAAAAUUAACUGUUCAUUAUUCAUUUACUGGGAAUUCCUUUAAUAACUCUGGUUGGCAGCUGUGACUCACUUUUUAUAGGACAUCAUCCAAACUGAAAUAAUUGUAAGUGGCACAAUUA
rnacentral:lncRNA from 1 species